rnacentral:rRNA from 1 species
UACUGAGUGGCGAACGGGUGAGUAACACGUGGGUGAUCUGCCCUGCACUUAGGGAUAAGCUUGGGAAACUGGGUCUAAUACCGGAUAGGAGCCAUCUUUAGUGUGGUGGUUGGAAAGUUUUUUCGGUGUAGGAUGAGCUCGCGGCCUAUCAGCUUGUUGGUGGGGUAAUGGCCUACCAAGGCGGCGACGGGUAGCCGGCCUGAGAGGGUGUACGGCCACAUUGGGACUGAGAUACGGCCCAG